GAUGAACGCUGGCGGCGUGCCUAAUACAUGCAAGUCGAACGCAUAGCGAAAGGUGCUUGCACCUUUCAAGUGAGUGGCGAACGGGUGAGUAACACGUGGACAACCUGCCUCAAGGCUGGGGAUAACAUUUGGAAACAGAUGCUAAUACCGAAUAAAACUUAGUGUCGCAUGACACAAAGUUAAAAGGCGCUUCGGCGUCACCUAGAGAUGGAUCCGCGGUGCAUUAGUUAGUUGGUGGGGUAAAGGCCUACCAAGACAAUGAUGCAUAGCCGCGUUGAGAGACUGAUCGGCCACAUUGGGACUGAGACACGGCCCAAACUCCUACGGGAGGCUGCAGUAGGGAAUCUUCCACAGUGAGCGAAAUCCUGAUGGAGCAACGCCGCGUGUGUGAUGAAGGCGUUCGGGUCGUAAAGCACUGUUGUAUGGGAAGAACAGCUAGAAGAGGAAAUGAUUUUAGUUUGACGGUACCAUACCAGAAAGGGACGGCUAAAUACGUG
rnacentral:rRNA from 1 species